GGGCCCGUGGCCUAGCCAGGACAUGGCGCCGGCCUUCUAAGCCGGUGAUCCCGGGUUCAAAUCCCGGCGGGCCCGCCA
rnacentral:tRNA from 1 species